rnacentral:snoRNA from 1 species
AUGUGCGUGAAGAAAUACCAUCCUUGCUCUGCGAGGCGAUGGACACACACUCGAGAACCCUGCGGAGGUACCGUAGCAACGGGUUACAGUAACCGAAGCAGUCGAUUCUCUAGUGGUUCUUCGCCGGUGAACAGUUAUGGCCUCUGACACAU